GACGAACGCUGGCGGCGUGCUUAACACAUGCAAGUCGAACGGACCUUAGCAUCAAGCCUGCUUAAUGCGAAAGGUUAGUGGCGGACGGGUGAGUAACACGUGGAUAAUCUGCCUAUGACACAGGGAUAACACUGUGAAAACGGUGCUAAUACCAGAUACGUUUAUCGAAUCGCAUGGUUUGAUAAAGAAAGGAGCAAUCCGGUCAUAGAUGAGUCCGCGGCUGAUUAGCUAGUUGGUGAGGUAACGGCUCACCAAGGCGAUGAUCAGUAGCCGGCCUGAGAGGGUGAACGGCCACACUGGGACUGAGACACGGCCCAGACUCCUACGGGAGGCAGCAGUGGGGAAUCUUCCGCAAUGGACGAAAGUCUGACGGAGCAACGCCGCGUGGGUGAAGAAGGCCUCGGUUGUAAACCUGUCUUAUGGGAGAAAAAAUAGAACGGUACCAUAGGAGGAAGCCACGGCUAACUACGUGCCAGCAGCCGCGGUAAACACGAG
rnacentral:rRNA from 1 species